CCAGGGCAGCAGCAGGAGUUCAGAGUGCUGCCAGCUGAGUGUCUGUGCUGGGGCCAGGAGCAGGGCCAGCCUGGUGCCACCGUGAGUGCUGAGAGCUGCAGGUGACCCAGGUGGUGUCCCAUGGCAAAAGCAUGAAGCUGUUCAUCAGGAUCUGGCUGACCUUUCCAUCCUUUUAAUCUGGAGGAAGUGGUAAAAGAAACCUCAGAGGCCCAAAGCGGGGAAGAUCAGAGUGCUUUGCAGAGCCUGUGUGAUCACCAAAGCCACAUACAUUGUUUUUCUUUCGUUUAACUAAAGCCCAGGAAAUGUAAACUGUGAUAGUUCUGCAAGCUGUAUCACAGAUCACUUCCUUGGCAAAGGCAGUUACAGGUAUUUGUGGUUUUUGUGUGGUCUGCAGCUGUCAGUGUGUGACCACUGGGCACUGGCUGUCCCUGUGCCCUGCUCACACUGGACCCCUGUGGCAGCAGUGCCAAGGAGCAGCACCAAAGGUUAAACCUCACACCCAAAGGUUAAACCUCACACCCACAGGUUAAACCUCACAACGCUGCCUGCUCUUGGAGGAUGGAGAGGAUUUAAUUCAGCACCACACAAGGCAGGUGGGAGCUGGGUGAGAGGAGCUGGAGGGAGGGAGAGGGAAGCUGAGGAUGUGGAUUGGCAGCUGCUGGAAUGGCAAAUGAACAGGUUAAUCAGAAAACCAAGCAGCUGCUGUGCUGUACCUGAGCCUGGUGCUGGGGCACCACAGUGGCAGCAGCUUGGCUGUGGAGCCACUGACUGCACCCUCUGUGGUGUUCUGGGUCAGUCCAGCUCAGGAAAUGCUGACUUCAGAGCAGUUCCCACACAUCCCUCGUUGUGUCAUCCACUUCUGCUGUGACUGAUUUAACCAGGGACCAAACUAAGUCCGGGAAACCAUCUGAACUUUGUGAAAGACUGAUUCUUUCUUUCCUGUGAGGGUGGUGAGGCCCUGGCACAGGUUGCUCAGAGAAGCUGUGGCUGCCCCCUCCCUGGAAGCAUUCCAGUUGGAUGGGACCCUGAGGAGCCUGCUCUCAAGGAAGACAUCCCCAUAGCAGGGGUUUGGAAGAAGAUGAUGUCUGAAGUCUGUGAUUCUGUGGGUCCUAUGCCAGGUGCCCAGUGCUGCUCAGACAGCAGCAGAGAGCCUGCAGAAGGCAGAACUGGAACCAGCCUUCAUUUCUGUGGGAAUCACUGAAGUCUCUUGGCAGUGGGAAUGCCUCACCUCGCUCAGUGCCCCCAGUGGAUUGAAGCUCCUGGUGUGAGAUGUGUGUAUUUAUGUUACCCUGGCAGAGCUAACAGUGCUUGGCUCUACAGGAGCGUUGUAAAUCUGAGCCUUUCCCUGUCAUCCACACUCGUCUUGAUUUUAGAGCACUUGGUGGUACCUGGAGUAUUUAACAGCACCUGGCUCUGACUAAUGGUUACAGAAGCAUAUAAGAUAGAAAGAUUAGCAGCUCAGCUGUCUGAUUAAUAUGUAAAUGUACCCAGAUAUGUGUGAGGGCUCUUAAUGAAGUAGCUCACACUUCUGCCUCUGUAUAGCAAAGGUGAUUGAUGGGAAAGUACUUCAGGUGCCUGCUGGAAAGUGUAAAAGUUGUUUUUGUCUACAUCUUGCCUUCAAAAAAAUAUCUGUAGACCUAGGGCUGAGAUUUCCUAAGGGAGGAAAAGCAACCCAGUCUGAGUUCAAUCUCAACUAAUCCAAAUUGUUGGCCAUGCUCCUGCAGUAUCUGUAAAUUCUCAGAUAGGAAUAAUCCAUCAGGAUCUUGUAUAACAAUCCACGCGGUGUCUUAAAUAAACCUUCCUUUUGGCUGUAGCCUGCAGCUGACACCUCCUAUAAAUUGUUUGAUGAUCCUUUAUAUGAAAGGCUGGAGGCUGAAAUGAAUGUUGUGGUGAAGGCAGGAGGCCCCAGCCCCAUGGAAGAGGCUCCUGGGCUGCUGCUUCCACCCAGCUCACGUCGCAUCACAGCCCCAGUCCCAGAGCCUCCUGCUGGGCAGCCCGGGGCAGCUUUCAGGGGAAUCAAAUGAAAAUCCUGAGGCGUCAAUGGAUUUGUGGAAUGCAGGGGCUUCCCUGCUGGAGAAGGAACACCACGGGAGAUGCCAGGGCAGGGGCUGUCGCUCUCAGGGUGUCCCUGUCACAGGCUGAGCACUCUGCCCCGCGUGUUUCCUGAAUCACUGUCCUGAGUCACGCCGGGCUUUCAUCCCGCCCCUACAAACCCCCGUGUGCAUUUCAAGAUCUCUGCACACGAAGCACGUUGUGCUGAAGCGGGCGUGGAGUGGAAAUUGGGCAGGGCAGCGAGGCCGGGGCGCUGCGGGUGCCGGCUCCAGGACGGGCUGUGGGAGAUCCCUCACAGAUAAGGUGUGCAACAGCACCUGGCUGGCGCAGGAGUUCACAACGUUCAAACCCUGUCUCAGCUCUCUCUUUUGCUGCCUCUUCCUCACUCCCACAGGUAUCUGGGGGCUCAGGGCACACACGGUUCCCACCUUCUCUGCAGGCUGUCCCCCUGGAUGAGCCCAGCAGCUCCACCUGGAACGCGUCUCCUGCUGCUCUCCCUUUGUCAGGGUGUCCGGGAGCUGCCUGAGGCUGAAACUGCUUUGUCUAAAAUUUUCCAUGCCUCCAGCCAGGCUUUUUUUGGUGCUGAUUUUAAAUAGUCAGACCUCUAAGAGAAGGGAUUGGAGCAGUGUGAAGUUUCCUUCCAAAAGGUAUUUGCUGGAGUUCUCUCUGUGAGCAGAAAUGUCAUCGCAGUUGUGAGCAAGGGAAGAGGGAGUGGGUGACAGGGCGGAAAGGCAGCAGUGCCACCAGCAACCACACAAACCAUGGCCACACACUUGCCAUUCCCUGGUUUCAGCUCUGGGGAGGAGCAUUUGGGACACAGGUCCCCUUCAACACUCUUGCAGAACAGCCCUGCAGAAGGUGUGAGGGCAGCAGGGUGACCCCUGACCCAGCCAGGUCUGUGAGGGUGGGUACCAGCCCCUGGCCACCAUCGGGGCAUUUCUCCAUAAAUAAACACUGCUGCUGGCUCUGAAGGGUUUUUUCCUACCAUCACAUUUAUUGGCAAUCAUUCACACAAUUUUUCCCUGCAGCAACCUGGGUGCACACUCUGGCAUUUUUAAGUGUAGCUUCUUAUUUCCUUCUAGUUCCUCUGAUGCAGGAGAAACACCUCCCUGUAAGCGCUGGCUCCAAUAAUGGUUAUUGCAUUCCUGAUGACAAAUCGGUUUACGAUAAUUAUUAGGCUGAUGGUUAAAGCUUUCAGUGUAAAUCAAUGCAAUUAAAAAGAAAAUAAUACUCCAUAAUUCAUAUAGAUAAAGACAUUUGUCGAUGGCUAAUGUUUCAGAAGAAAGUUCUAUAUGAGAAUUGUUUAGUCCCUGUGAUACCAGUGUCCAGCUAAUGAUGCUCAACUGGGACUGGAACUGGGACUGUUUUCUCUGAGUUUCAUGGCUACCACAUGUGUGGGUCCCCUGACAGACCUGAGAUGCUGAGGGGCUGAGAGUUCCCUCUCCCGAUUCUUCAUGGCAGCAGAAAGAGUUGGUGACUUCAUCAUCUUCUUCCAGACUUCUGUGAUCCUUCUGCUGUGAGUUCCUCCCUCUCCACCCUUCCAUGAAAGGCAUCUGCAUGCCUAUUAUACCAAAACUGCAUUGCAAAGGCUGCAGAGAAGACCACCACACCCUGAAGAGGCCUUCUGACUGAGGCCCUGAACUGCUGGCUGAUGGAGAGAAGAAAGGAAACUCAGGUCUGGGGAGAAAGAACUCCUUCACAGACGGAUCAAGCUUAGCACCUCCGGGGUGGAGACCACAGCUUGCUUUCCCUCUUUUGCUAUCAAGUAAAGUAUAUCAAU